rnacentral:rRNA from 1 species
ACUCCUACGGGAGGCAGCAGUGGGGAAUAUUGCACAAUGGGGGAAACCCUGAUGCAGCCAUGCCGCGUGUGUGAAGAAGGCCUUCGGGUUGUAAAGCACUUUCAGUAGGGAGGAAGGUAGUGUAGUUAACACCUGCAUUAUUUGACGUUACCUACAGAAGAAGCACCGGCUAACUCCGUGCCAGCAGCCGCGGUAAUACGGAGGGUGCGAGCGUUAAUCGGAAUUACUGGGCGUAAAGCGCAUGCAGGCGGCCUGUUAAGUCAGAUGUGAAAGCCCGGGGCUUAACCUCGGAAUUGCAUUUGAAACUGGCAGGCUAGAGUCUUGUAGAGGGGGUUAGAAUUUCAGGUGUAGCGGUGAAAUGCGUAGAGAUCUGAAGGAAUACCAGUGGCGAAGGCGGCCCCUGGACAAAGACUGACGCUCAGAUGCGAAAGCGUGGGAGCAAAC